rnacentral:rRNA from 1 species
CCUACGGGAGGCAGCAGUGAGGAAUAUUGGUCAAUGGACGCAAGUCUGAACCAGCCAUGCCGCGUGCAGGAAGACGGCUCUAUGAGUUGUAAACUGCUUUUGUAUGAGGGUAAACGCAGAUACGCGUAUCUGUCUGAAAGUAUCGUAUGAAUAAGGAUCGGCUAACUCCGUGCCAGCAGCCGCGGUAAUACGGAGGAUUCAAGCGUUAUCCGGAUUUAUUGGGUUUAAAGGGUGCGUAGGCGGGUGGAUAAGUUAGGUGUGAAAUCCCGAGGCUCAACUUCGGAAUUGCAUUUGAUACUGUUCGGCUGGAGAGUAGUUGCGGUAGGCGGAAUGUGUGGUGUAGCGGUGAAAUGCUUAGAGAUCAUACAGAACACCGAUUGCGAAGGCAGCUUACCAAGCUACUACUGACGUUGAGGCACGAAAGCGUGGGGAGCAAACAGGAUUAGAUACCCGUGUAGUC